AAAAUAAAAUAAUUCUUUGAAAAUUAAAUUAAAAAAGAAAAGGCCGAAAACCCUAGAUCUGCACAAUACCUGCCCCUAUAGCACUAAAUUUUUCCAGUUGAGUUCAACUAGCGCGCUACUCAACAUAAGAGUCCCAGCAAUGAAUGCCUUAUAACUCAAUCAUUGAAUUGUUUUACACUUUCUCAGCAUAACAGUUUACUGAGAUUCAAGUUCUCCACAUAGGAAAAUCACAUCACUGCUGCCAAGAUGUGAAUGUCUAGAUGGAUACACAAGCACAAACUAAGCAUAAAAUCAACAACAAAGUUAAUAUUUGAUUUUUCAUGCUUAAACCUCGUAAUAAGUUCCGAUGCCUCAGCAUCCCACUGAAGGACACAGAACUUAUAUCUUUCUGUAGCAAUAAAUAGAAAAUCCUGU
rnacentral:misc_RNA from 1 species